AUUGAACGCUGGCGGCAUGCCUAACACAUGCAAGUCGAACGACUGGCGGACGGGCGAGUAAUGUCUGGGAAACUGCCCGAUGGAGGGGGAUAACUACUGGAAACGGUAGCUAAUACCGCCUACCAUCGGAUGUGCCCAGAUGGGAGUAGCUUGUAGGUGAGGUAACGGCUCACGUAGGCUACGAUCCCUAGCUGGUCUGAGAGGAUGACCAGACAAACAGGAAAUAAGACACGGUCCAGACUACUACGGGAGACAGAAGUGGGAAAUAUUGCACAAUGGGCGCAAGCGUGAUGAAGCCCAGGCGCGUGUAUGAAGAAGACCUUAGGGUUGUAAAGUACUUUCAGCGGGGAGACGUUACCCGGAGAAGAAGCAGCGGAUAACUCCGUGCCAGCCGGCGCGGUAAUUC
rnacentral:rRNA from 1 species